CUACGUGCCAGCAGCCGCGGUAAUACGGAAGGUCCAGGCGUUAUCCGGAUUUAUUGGGUUUAAAGGGAGCGUAGGCCGUGGAUUAAGCGUGUUGUGAAAUGUAGACGCUCAACGUCUGAAUUGCAGCGCGAACUGGUUCACUUGAGUAUGCACAACGUAGGCGGAAUUCGUCGUGUAGCGGUGAAAUGCUUAGAUAUGACGAAGAACUCCGAUUGCGAAGGCAGCUUACGGGAGCACAACUGACGCUGAAGCUCGAAGGUGCGGGUAUCAAACAGGAUUAGAUACCCUGGUAGUCCGCACAGUAAACGAUGGAUGCCCGUUGUUAGUUCACUUUAGAAUUAGCGACCAAGCGAAAGCAUUAAGCAUCCCACCUGGGGAGUACGCCGGCAACGGUGAAACUCAAAGGAAUUGACGGGGGCCCGCACAAGCGGAGGAACAUGUGGUUUAAUUCGAUGAUACGCGAGGAACCUUACCCGGGCUU
rnacentral:rRNA from 1 species